rnacentral:rRNA from 1 species
AUACGGAGGAUGCAAGCGUUAUCCGGAUUUAUUGGGUUUAAAGGGUGCGUAGGCGGAUGAUUAAGCGUGAGGUGAAAUGCCACUGCUCAACAGUGGAACUGCCUCGCGAACUGGUUGUCUUGAAUGCUCCUGCCGUGGGAGGAAUGUGUGGUGUAGCGGUGAAAUGCAUAGAGAUCACACAGAACACCGAUUGCGAAGGCAUCUCACGAAGGGGUGAUUGACGCUGAGGCACGGAAGCGUGGGGAUCAAACAGGAUUAGAUACCCUGGUAGUCCACGCAGUAAACGAUGAUAACUAACCGCUGGGUCGUAGUGAUUCAGUGGCCAAGCGAAAGCGAUAAGUUAUCCACCUGGGGAGUACGACCGCAAGGUUGAAACUCAAAGGAAUUGACGGGG